rnacentral:rRNA from 1 species
UACAGAGGGUGCAAGCGUUAAUCGGAAUUAUUGGGCGUAAAGCGCAUGUAGGUGGUUUAAUAAGUUUGAUGUGAAAUCCCCGGGCUUAACCUGGGAAUGGCGUUGAAUACUGUUAGACUAGAGUCGGACAGAGGGUAGUGGAAUUUCCGGUGUAGCGGUGAAAUGCGUAGAGAUCGGAAAGAACACCAGUGGCGAAGGCGGCUACCUGGGUCCAGACUGACACUGAGGUGCGAAAGCGUGGGGAGCAAACAGG